rnacentral:rRNA from 1 species
AAGUCUUUACGGAGAAAGCUUUAUGCACCAUUGGAUGAGCCUGCACUUGAUUAGUUUGUUGGUGGGGUAAUGGCCUACCAAGACUGUGAUCAAUAGCUGAUUUGAGAGGAUGAUCAGCCACAUUGGGACUGAGACACGGCCCAAACUCCUACGGGAGGCAGCAGUGGGGAAUCUUGCACAAUGGAGGAAACUCUGAUGCAGCGAUGCCGCGUGAGUGAAGAAGGCCUUUGGGUUGUAAAGCUCUUUCGUCGGGGAAGAAAAUGACUGUACCCGAAUAAGAAGGUCCG